rnacentral:siRNA from 1 species
CUGUCAGCUAGUCAGCUCGUC